CCUACGGGUGGCAGCAGUGGGGAAUAUUGGACAAUGGGCGAAAGCCUGAUCCAGCCAUGCCGCGUGUGUGAAGAAGGCCUUCGGGUUGUAAAGCACUUUCAGUGGGGAAGAAAGCCUUGGGGCUAAUACCCUCGAGGAAGGACAUCACCCACAGAAGAAGCACCGGCUAACUCCGUGCCAGCAGCCGCGGUAAUACGGAGGGUGCGGGCGUUAAUCGGAAUUACUGGGCGUAAAGCGCGCGUAGGCGGUCUGAUAAGCCGGUUGUGAAAGCCCCGGGCUCAACCUGGGAACGGCAUCCGGAACUGUCAGGCUAGAGUGCAGGAGAGGAAGGUAGAAUUCCCGGUGUAGCGGUGAAAUGCGUAGAGAUCGGGAGGAAUACCAGUGGCGAAGGCGGCCUUCUGGACUGACACUGACGCUGAGGUGCGAAAGCGUGGGUAGCAAACAGGAUUAGAUACCCUUGUAGUC
rnacentral:rRNA from 1 species